CUAACUUCCCAUCCUAACAUGUGAUGAUUCUAGAAUGAGUACAGAAUAUAACAAUCAGAUAGGUGUUGGAAAUGUACAGUUGGGUUUUCCCCCAUUUAUCUGUUAAAAACUUCAGGAUAAAGUCCCAGGCAAAUGGUUUCAGGAGAAGGAAAGGAAAUACAUGUUAAUGUCAGGGGUGUCUGGCAUAAAUACUCUAAUUUUCCUGAUGGUCUGGAAUAGUGUGAGGUUGGAAAAGAUGCUUAAACUGAAGAAGUUCCCCAGAAGCAACUUGUUCUAACCCUGUGACUACAGUGCCAUAUAUUCUGUAUUUAAACUUCUUAAAAUACAAAUAAGACAAUUAAAAAAAGAAACAAACAAAACACAGCACCUUAAGACAAAUAUAUUUCUCCACAAUUCACUAAUAGCUUUAAAAUUCUCCUCAGUGUAUUGGAAAAUUCAAGAACCAGCAGCUUUAUGGAAGUGAGAAAAAGAUGUGCUAAAGUUCCCAAAAUAAAUAGGGAUAUUCAGUGAACCACAAUAUCUGGAAGAUAAAGCAAGUGCUUACCUGUUGGCAUUGCCAUCUGCUCUGUUUUGGAUUGGAAUUUGGGGCCUGGAUUGAAGGAACGUUUCCAGAGGAUUUGCACUUAAUUCUGCUGGGCACCAAGUCGUUCCCUAUACUAACUGAAAUGGGAGUAAAGCACUUGGAUCUGAUUCCUAAGAUGCCAGCACAAGACGGUAUGAUGGACUCAUAAACUAGCUACUGAUCACAGUAGCCACGUUGACUACAUUGGACCUCUUCCCUCUUGGAUAAGGCAGCAAUUUUCCUUGUUAUAAUCAACAUUUAUCUAGAUAUGGGCUGUUUUUUUUUUUUUUUUGUUUUUUUUUUUUUUUUUUUUUUUUUUUAAUCUGGAGUACCUCCAUUGCAACCACCAUCGAAGUGCUUAUAGAAUGUCUGAAUUAUAGGGGCGCCUGGGUGGUGCAGUCGGUUAAGCGUCCGACUUCAGCCAGGUCACGAUCUCGCGGUCCGUGAGUUCGAGCCCCGCGUCCGGCUCUGGGCUGAUGGCUCAGAGCCUGGAGCCUGUUUCCGAUUCUGUGUCUCCCUCUCUCUCUGCCCUUCCCCCGUUCAUGCUCUGGCUCUCUCUGUCCCAAAAAUAAAUAAACGUUAAAAAAAAAAAAAAGAAUGUCU
rnacentral:lncRNA from 1 species